rnacentral:rRNA from 1 species
UACAGAGGUGGCAAGCGUUGUUCGGAAUUACUGGGCGUAAAGGGCGCGUAGGCGGCCUUCUAAGUCAGACGUGAAAUCCCCCGGCUUAACCUGGGAACUGCGUCUGAUACUGGAGGGCUUGAGUGCGGGAGAGGGAUGUGGAAUUCCAGGUGUAGCGGUGAAAUGCGUAGAUAUCUGGAGGAACACCGGUGGCGAAGGCGGCAUCCUGGACCGACACUGACGCUGAGGCGCGAAAGCCAGGGGAGCGAACGGG